CCCUGAGAAACGGCGUGGCCACGGGGGACACAGUGACCCCGCCCGUCACCGGAGAGGGACGGACGGACACUGGCGGGACAGAGGCCGCGCGGCCUCACAGACCAGGAGGGAAGCUCAUGGGUGACAAGGGCAGGAACACAUGUUCACCCCGUGACGUGUGUUUUGACCAUCAGAUCGUCAAAGACAAAAUCAAGCUCUGCAGGCAGACGUGUGGGCUGUGCCCUGACCGUGGGGACAACAGUGCAACCCAGUCCUGACCUGGGUCUCGUCCUGAGCAUGAAAACAGGUUCCGUGGGAAACGGAAGACACUGAGCCGCACGCCGUGUGAGUGGCAGUCGCGUGACAGCCGAGCGCGCACGAAGGACCCUGUCUCCGCGGGCAGAGCCACGAUGACCCACGCUUCCCUUUCAGGCUCCGGUGGGGACGCGCUAGGAGGCCACACUGUGCUGACAGGAGCGCUUCCCUCCGUCAACGCGUCUGCAGAGCUGACAGGCAGUGGGGA